CUGGAAGACUGAAAGAUGAUUGUUCAAGAGCACAGGCAGCCUUCAGUGGACAAUCAGAAUGUGCCUACAGCUGGAGAAACUCACUGGCAUGACGCCUUUGUUGCUCAUAAAUCUGAUUUCACAGAACUUGAAAAGAAGUGUGGUAAUACACGAUCCAAAGCUACUCGCAAGAAGCAUCUGGAAAAAAGCUCUUUUCUUCUGGAUGGGCUCCUGAUACAUAUUUGCAGAAAGCAAAUGAUGUACUGAACCAUGUGCUGUGACUGUCAACACUUUCAACAGUAUGAACUAUUUAUGUUUUUGUUUAGAACUGAUAGUGGUCAUUUAUUUUAAAUUUCUCCUAUGUGUUAUUGUAUUAAUAAGAAGUGAUUAUAUCUCUUCAGAAAAAGGGAAACACACACUGUUUUGCUUUUUUGGGGCAAGUCUGCUUUAUAUUAUGGUCAUCCAAAAUACUUAAGUAGCCCUGAAGACUUUGUUGUCCAUUGUUAUUCAUAAGAUAGAUGAGACUAAAAGAAGGAAUAAUACAGUUGAAAUACCAUAUGAGUUAACUGGCUAUUUUAUAAGUGAGAGUUUAUUGUCAUGCUUUGUGCUUCCUUUCAAUAUCUUGCUACUUUACUAGGUAGUGUUCUUUUCUCUGAUCAGUUUUUGGUAUGGUAUGAUUUGUGGCGACUGAGGAGAACACUAGUAAAUAAUCCUUAAAAAUGUGAUGCAGGAACUCUCAAAUAUUUUGUACAUUCAAUUCUGCUAUGAAAUUUACAUCUAAUAUCCUAUACGUGUCACAAAUCAAGAUACGUUAUUGUGUGUGAGAAGGAAGGAAUCUGAAUGGUAUAUAACUUGUGGAUUAUCAUUAUCUCAAUCUUAAAGGCUGAUUCAUAAGGAUUCAUAUCUUGUGAUAUAGCUAGUCAAAUGAGUCUUGUCUUAAAGCAGGAAACUUGUAUUCUGAGUGUUUUUUAUUUUUAUUUUUUAAAUUCCUUUUACAUACCUUUGUUAAAAAUGGAGAAGCAAGGGCUCUGUGGUUCUAUAUACAAAACAAAUGUUCCCUACAUGUCUGUGGGGAGAAAACAGCCACAUCUGUACAAUGGGACUGAGAGGUCAUUGCCAAGCUUUGGGUCACAGCAUUAAUACAGGUAUAGUAGCAGGUCUAUGUCCAUAUACAUUUCUCAGCAGGGUCCCAUCUCCCUCUAAGGAAAAAAUUACAUGCCCUUGCCCUUCUGUAAGGAGAAAACAAAGCAAAUAAUUUGGAUUCCUGAGGGAAUCAUGACUGUAAAGCAUGCUACAAACUGCACUUGCUCCACAAUAGACCCGACAGAUAUCAGCCAAGGUCAAUAUAUGAAUACAAACAUUUUUGCUUUUCUGUCUCCUCAUCAAGAAGCAGAUUGAAGCCAUAAUUCCUAGCUUUUAUAUAGUGUUUCUCUUCACUUUUUUUUUUUUUUUUGUCAUUGCUCUUCUACCCAUUUAAAACCUUUCAUCAUAAAUGUCACAGCUAUUAUGUAUUGCAGACAAAAUGGAUGAAUGUGAAGAAAUGUUCAUACCUCUCUAAUACUAUGACUUUUCAAUGUACUCUUUUGGGACAGUGUGCUUUAGAGGGAAGAGCAGAAUGAUGGGGCUCUGUCCCUGUUUCAGUUAAGUUAAUAACUGGGAUGAAAAUGGACCCUAUGUUUCUAAAGUUUUCCUUUCUCUUUAACAAUUCUUCUUUAACACUUCUUUUACCUACUGGCAGGUUAGCAACAAAAUUGCCCCAAUGGCAGAUGUAAUCCCUUGAUACUGUGAUUUUGGAAAUGGACACUCCUUGUGUGUUUGGGUUAUAUUUCUUUCCCUUUUAUUUACGAAUUGCAGAGUCCUUGGGAAAAAAAAAAAAAAAAAAAAAAAAAGAUGAAACAGAACAGGAUGGAAAUCACCUUGCCCUGGUAUCUCACAAUCUUUUUUUUUCCUUACAAAGGCAUAGAGUAGAUCAUAGCUGAUAUCUCUCAGCUGUGUGUUGUUUUGGUCUGUUAUACAUCUGUUGAAAAGUGAUAAUUUUCUUUUACAGAGAUUUAAACUACCUCUCCACAGAUGUAUUUCAACAGUUCAGAAUCCCUUGAAGUAUGAAGACAUCUUUUCUAACUAACAAAUUUGAGUAUUUUUCCAACUCCCGUGUGUUUUUUUGUUUUGUUGUAGGUUUUUUGUAUUGUUUUGUUUUGUUUUGUUAGGCAAAGUAACUUUUGGACAUACUGUAUUUCGUUUUUUUCAAUAGAAUUGAAACUGCUGUGGUGAUGUCCCCAGAUUGAGUCAGCAGUAAGGAUGAGUAGAAAUUCACAACAGGCCCACAAACCCACAUACAUACAAUGUAUAUACAUAGAUACGCUUCUGGCCACACAGAUCAAUACAAACAUAAAACAGCACACAUACAAACAUAGACAGCACCAAUGGCCUUAUACUGAUUCCCUCCUGGCUUUCUGUAAUCUGUAAAUUCUCUUUUCCUAUAAGAGAGCACUCUUGUAUUCUCCAACAAUCCACUUAGAACACUUCAAAUCAAGUUCUACAUGAUCCCCAAAUUCUUUUGCCUGGUAUCCCAUAAUAAAUCCUGUCUGUCUUUAGGCA
rnacentral:lncRNA from 1 species